GAUGAAGAACGCAGCGAAAUGCGAUACUUGGUGUGAAUUGCAGAAUCCCGUGAACCAUCGAGUCUUUGAACGCAAGUUGCGCCCGAAGCCAUUAGGCCGAGGGCACGCCUGCCUGGGCGUCACACGUCGUUGCCCCCCCAUCUACUCCUUCGGGAUUGCGGGGGGCGGAUGAUGGCCUCUCGUGCGCCUCGUCGCGCGGUUGGCCUAAAUGCCAAGUCCUCGGCGACGCACGCCACGACAAUCGGUGGUUGCGAAACCUCGGUUGCCUGUCGUGUGCGGUCGUCGCGCAUCGAGGGCUCGAAAAAAUUGCCGGGCUUCGGCUCGACUUUCAACGCGACCCCAGGUCAGGCGGGGUUACCCGCUGAAUUUAAGCAUAUCAAUAAGCGGAA
rnacentral:misc_RNA from 1 species